rnacentral:rRNA from 1 species
GAUGAACGCUGGCGGCGUGCCUAAUACAUGCAAGUCGAGCGAACAGAUGAGGAGCUUGCUCCUCUCACGUUAGCGGCGGACGGGAGAGUAACACGUGGAUAACCUACCUAUAAGACUGGGAUCACUUCGGGAAACCGGAGCUAAUACCGUAUAAUAUAUUGAAGCGCGUGGUUCAAUAGUGAAAGACGGUUUUGCGGUCACUUAUAGAUGCAUCUGCGCCGCAUUAGCUAGUUGGUAAGGUCACGGCUUACCAAGGCAACGAUGCGUGGCCGAAGUGAGAGAGUGAUAGCCGACACUGGAACUGAGACACGGUCCAGACGACUGAGGGAGGGCGCAGUAGGCAAUGGGACGCAAUGGGCGAAAGCCUGACGGAGCAACGGGGCGUGAGUGAUGAAGGUGCUCGGAGCGUAAUACUCGGUUAUGAGGGAAGAACAAAUGUGUAAUUAAAUAUGCACGGAGUGACGGUACCUGAUCAGAAAGCCCCGGCUAACUACGUG